AUUGAACGCUGGCGGCAGGCUUAACACAUGCAAGUCGAGCGGAGAUGAGGUGCUUGCACCUUAUCUUAGCGGCGGACGGGUGAGUAAUGCUUAGGAAUCUGCCUAUUAGUGGGGGACAACAUUCCGAAAGGAAUGCUAAUACCGCAUACGCCCUACGGGGGAAAGCAGGGGAUCUUCGGACCUUGCGCUAAUAGAUGAGCCUAAGUCGGAUUAGCUAGUUGGUGGGGUAAAGGCCUACCAAGGCGACGAUCUGUAGCGGGUCUGAGAGGAUGAUCCGCCACACUGGGGCUGAGACACGGCCCAGACUCCUACGGGAGGCAGCAGUGGGGAAUAUUGGACAAUGGGCGGAAGCCUGAUCCAGCCAUGCCGCGUGUGUGAAGAAGGCCUUUUGGUUGUAAAGCACUUUAAGCGAGGAGGAGGCUACCUGGAUUAAUACUCUAGGAUAGUGGACGUUACUCGCAGAAUAAGCACCGGCUAACUCUGUGCCAGCCGCCGCGGUAAGAC
rnacentral:rRNA from 1 species